GUCCAGUCAGCAGUAGGUACUAGUAGCUAAGUUUUAGGGAAGUCAAAAUUAUAUGUAGAGUUUCAAAGGCACGAUGGGUGGGUGGAGAAGAAUGGGCAUCCCUAACCCCCAGGGUAUUCAAGAGACAACAGCACAACAAAUGAGUUUAAAGUGCUCAAUUGGCUUUAUUUGCAAUUCUAGAACCAGGCAACACUUUAUUCCAAAACACAGAAUGAGUAAUCCAGUGAGCCCCGCAGAAUUUGCUUUAUUGACAGAGAAGGCUGAAGAAAGCAGAAACAAAGAACAAAGGGAGGAUUCGUUACUUUUAGACAGAACAAUAGAAAAAUAACUGAUUAGUUAAUAUCAGGUUACUCCAGGCUUCCUUUUUUGUGUGAGGAUUAAAGCAGAGGGAACUUCAUUAUCAUGCGGAUUGAGGACUGAAACAGACCUGUUUGGGAAAGUGGCUGUUAUCUCUCUCCGGAUUUCUGAGAAGGCUCUGAACCCCCACAGCUCUUGCUGUCAGAAUGACUUACCGCAAACUGCACACGACUCCCCAGCUCUGCAAGAACUCGUUCUGGCUUCUGCUCCUGGCUCAGCCUCCUGAAGCCCAGGAAUCAAGGCUUCUCCUCCCUUGCUCCUCACCCAAGGUCUAUGGGCUUAGCUCUUCUUCUUGUUCUUUAGAUUUAAGGGGUACAUGUGCAGAUUUGUUACAGGGAUAUAUUGUGUGACGCUGAGGAUUGGGGUACAAGUGAUUCUGUCACCAAGGUAGUGAGCAUAGCACUGAAUAGGUAUUUUUUCAGCCUUUACUCCCUCCCUCCCCUCUAGUAAUCCUCAGUUGUCUGCUUUCCAUCUUUGUGUCCAUGAGUACCCAAUGUUCGGCUCCCACUUAUGAGUGAGAACAUAUGACAUUUGCUUUUCUGUUUCUGUGUUAAUUUACCUAGAAUAAUGGCCUCCACCUGCAUCCAUGUUGCUGCAAAGGACAGGAUUUCAUUCUUUUUUGUGACUGUGUAGUAUUUCAUGGUGUAAAUGUGCCACAUUUUCUUCAUCCAAUCCACUGUGGAUGAGCACCUGGGAUGGUUCCAUGUCACUGCUAUUGUGAAUAGCACUGCAGUGAACAUACAUGAGCAGGUUCCUCUUUUGAAUUCAGUUCCUUAUUUUUGAUGUUUGCCCUCAAUUGCCCACACUCUGACCACUUAGCUCAUACCAACAAGCCCCAGACAAGGUGUCUUGUUUCUGAGGAAUUAGAGGGCAGGAAUAGGGAAAGGAAGAAAGAGGAAGUAAAAGGUGUAAGAAAUUCUCCUUGCUCAUGAUAGAAAGCUGUAGACCCAGCUUGGGCAUGCGUUUCAUUCACAGGGAUUUCUUUUUAGGGGGUUAUAUAUCCAGCUUUAUUUUUUAUUAUAAUCUUUUUUAUUUGUAUGAAUGGAUAGGGUGCGAGUACAAUCAUGUUACAUGCAUAGAUUGUGCAGUGGUGAAGUCAGGGCUUUAGAGCAUCCAUCCUCUAAAUAACAUGCAUAGUACCCAAUGAGUAAUUUCUCAUUAUCCACCUCCCGUCCACCCCACCCCCUUCUGAGUCUCCAUCGUCUACCAUUCCACGCUCUACAUCCACGUGUACACAUUAUUUAGCUCCCACAUAUCAGUGAGAACACGCAAUAUCUGUUUUUCUGUUUCUGGCCUGUUUCACUUAAGGUGACGACCUCCAGUUCCAUCCAUAUUGCUGCAAAAGACAUGAUUUUUUUAUGGCUUAAUAGUAUUCCAUUGUGUAUAUGUACCAUAUUUUUUCCACCCAUUUGUUGAUGAACACUUAGGUUAAGCAGUACUACAAUAAACAUACAAAUGCAGGUA
rnacentral:lncRNA from 1 species